UAACGAUAUUACUGUUUAGCACGUGCAAUAGGAGUGACUCACACAAGCCAGGUGCGCCGGCCGUGUCGUUCGACUCAUAAACAACAGGUGCAACAGAAGUGACUCAUAAAUAAGCCAGCUGCGCCGGCCAGUAUAAAAAGGCGGUACGUGGCUCGCAAUGGACAUUCGUUGGACUGCGCUUGCCUGGUGCACUUACUAUACCCUUGUUACGUUGUGUGAUUCAGUGACUGUUGUACGUACUGGUUAAAGUUGGACAAGUGUUAAAGUGAAUUGUUAAGAUAACAUAUUGUUGAUUAAAUCAGGAAUCAAAGGUGACUUCGUUUAACUUGGUGUUCAACAAGAUAAUAUCUACCCUCAAGCCUACAUCAGAAGUGAGAUCAGGACUCUACUCUCACUGGCGUGACGUGUUUGAACAUGUUCGAAGUACAGCAAAAAAAACAUGAUGCAGAUCAGAAUACUAGUAGUGGUACGCCACAAGAGCGUGAAUGCAGCAUACGUAAGUCGUGUAAUAACGUCUCUGUUACCUCGAUGGAAGAUCUGAGCCACGAAGAAAUCGUCACAUCUUACGUUCUGGCUCAUGUUGCCCAGUUGACUCUCGACUUAUCACAUGGCAUUUACUAGCGGAAAUACAACACGUAACAAGCUAUUGCAAGAAAUUAAGGCAAGUGCAAAUCUCAAGUGAAACUUCGAUCGCAAUAAUGGAUCUGUCAUGACGAGUGGGUAGUUCCGACACGAAUCGUUUUUAAGCCAAUGACUACUGCUAGAGUUACAUGGCACUAGUACAGUAAACCAGGACAUGAGACUGUGAAUUGUCGCUGAAAUUUUAGAAUCUACUCGAUUCAAUACCAAUAACACUACACGUUCGAUGACUUCGGGCUCCAGCAAGCAAGCAAACAAGAAAGCAAGCAAGUUUCCGUGGGGAAGAAAAAUUGACACAUCUGAAGUCGUCGUGACCUGUAAGAUAAGACGUCCGGUGCGUUCGUGUCUGGCGAUGCGGCAGUGUUCGGGUUCCGCUGGCGGAUGCAGGUUUUUCCGGUGAAGUGCGUGCUUGUGCGUGCUUGACAAGUGUUCGCGGUUGGCUUCCUCAGUGUGGGAGUAACAUCGUGUAAGAGAGGUGGAACCCGUAAAAUUGUAGUUUGCGUGGUGGCUGGUAAGAUUUGUUGCGGUAAGAAGUUUGCAUGGUGGUAAAAUGUCUUGUGAGUCUGCACAGGUAGCCGGAGGUGAGACUUCCGCGGUCGCGGCCCACCCAGUCCGCGAGAACCGGGCAGAUCGCCUCGACGGUACGGAGGCCGGCUGACGGGUCCGCCAAACGACGAGACCACGCCUCCAGCACGGACUGCCGAUAUUGGAGCCCCCGCGCUCCGGCUGCACUUGCGCUAGGGCGCGCCGCCUCGUAGGAGACUGUGAGGUGCUGUGGCAGGUCCAACCAGAGACGUCAACGUGUGUUCCAGAACUUCAGUGUGUUACAGAUAAGUGGUUUUGGCUCACCCUUUAUGUUCCAUUCAGGGUCAGAAUGUAGUCUUAUAAAACAAAGCCAUAGUAAUUUAUUCAAUGGUAAGCGGUUUCAUGAACAAGUCACCGUAGUCACCCUAGACACGUCCUUACGGAUCCAUCAGAUCCAAUAACUCUUGCAUUAGAUA